rnacentral:rRNA from 1 species
CCUACGGGAGGCAGCAGUGGGGAAUAUUGCACAAUGGGGGGAACCCUGAUGCAGCAAUGCCGCGUGGGUGAAGAAGCACUCCGGUGCGUAAAGCCCUGUCAGCAGGGAAGAAAAUGACAGUACCUGGACAAGAAGCCCCGGCUAAAUACGUGCCAGCAACCGCGGUAAUACGUAGUGGGCAAGCGGUAUCCGGAUAUACUGGGUGUAAAGGGAGCGCAGGCGGGGGGGCAAGUCAGAUGGGAAAACCCGGGGCCCAACCCCCGGAGUGCAUUUGAAACUGGCAUGCUGGAGUGCGGGAGAGGUAAGCGGAAUUCCAAGUGUAGCGGUGAAAUGCGUAGAUAUUAGGAGGAACACCAGAGGCGGAGGCGGCUUACUGGA